GCCCGGCUGGCACAAUUGGUUAGCGCGUGAGACUUUUAAUCUCAAGGCUCAGGGUUCGGUUCGUACCAUCGCCAUUCG